rnacentral:sRNA from 1 species
UGCAUCUGAAGCCUGACGAGGAUGAGAACCUCCGGGGGCAAGAGGUUCGACUCGAGCGCAGCGAGAGAACGUUGCGUCAGCAACGGCCCGCAGGGCGAGCCACGCAGUGGCGAGUCAUCCUCUAUCACCGACAG